AAUUUUCAUUUGGACUUUUAAAAUAAUCCGCAACAUGGAAAUGGAUCAUUUAUCCAUUGUUAUUUUCAUUUGGCCCAAAACUAUCGCCCUACUUUGACAGGUCUUUAAUGUCCAAUUGCUGAUAAUUAAUAGUUUAAUCGUCCAAUUGUCUAAUUGUUUACCCAAAAAAAUUGCUGAUCUAUUACCAGUAUCCUUGUAGCUGAGUGAAUCGCCUCCAACUCCUGGUUACUGAGAUUUUGGCACUGAAGGAAGUUCUGCAGCUAAUGGGUAUCUAGCUACUUGGACUUGUAUCUGUGUUUGCUUCAAAGUGAUUGGCUUUGGGCUAUUCAAAUGCUCAAUAUUAGUAAUGCAUAGUGUUGUCUUCUCUUGGCAUUAGAUGGUAAUCUGAUUCAAGUUGUGAAGCUGAGAUUGAGAUGUUUUUAAGAGCUAUAAAGUAUUAAUUUUAGCUUAGCUUAGCUUAGCUUGAUCGUUGUCUAUUUGGCUGUAAUGAACCUUGAAGGCAAGUGUUUUUGGAUUUAUCAUGUUCUUUCUGUGAAGGCAGUGAACUGAGUAGUAUGUCAGCAAAUUCUGGUGGAACCCCGGUCGACAGACCUAUUAUAAGACCGGUAGCUGCUUAUUUGAAUGAAGAUGGGUCCUCUCGUAUCUCACUUAAGUGGUGGGAUGGGAAUGGAAUCCCAAAUUCAGCCAUUAAGUGCAAGGAGGAUCAGAAAUUGAGAUGGCAUGCGACACCAUUUGAGGAGAGGCUUGAAAAGGCAUUGUCUGAAGAGUCAUCAAUCAGAGUGAACUGAGUGGUAUAGCAGCAAAUUCUAAUAGAACCCCGGUGAACUGAGAAGAAGCUGCUUAUUGGAAUGAAGAUGAGGCCUCUUGUAUCUCACCUAGGUGUUGGGAUGGGAAUGGAAUCCUAAAUUCAACCAAUAAGUACGAGGAGCAUCAGAAAGUGCGAUGGCAUGUGACACCGUUUGAGGAAAGGCUUGAAAAGGCAUUGUUUUUGGGAAGUGUCGUCACUUCAGAGGUAUGCUUACCAUCAUUUGGUUUUACUCUCUUAUGCCCCUCACGUAGAAACCAUUUGGUUCAUGGCAUGCUAGAUGGAAAUGUUGAUACCAGAAGUUAAUGUACUCAUGGCUGGUAGGAUUUGUUAUAUGGCAACGUCGACACUGCAGAAAUUAAUAUUUUGGUAACAUGUCUUGGGAAACCAAUUUGUAUUUGACGAGAGUGAAGAAAGUGAUACUGUUUUUUCUCAGUUUCAGUCUUCAUCCCAUCCAAAGUCAGUGGUUACAUUUUGAUGAAUGCUGCUGGCGUCUUUCAAUUUUGCAGUAUAGGUUGUUAUACAUCUGCUGGUAUGUUGUCAGUUGGAGGAAACCACCAGGAUUUUGUGUGAUUGGCUUUCAUCAAAAACAUUGAGACAUGAAGCUGGUUCUGGAAUUUCUGUUUGUCAAUGCAAGCCAUGUCAGCAUCAUAUGGAGCCUUCUUUUUUUUUUUUUUUUUUUUGGGGGGGGUAAAAAUCAGCAUAUGGAACUGCUUCCAUUGUACAUACGUAGUGAAGUUACUGACAGAUGAUGCUGGUUCUGGAAUUUCUAUUUCUAAGCACAUCAGCAGCAUAUGAAACUUUUUUUUUUUUUUACCUUCCCCUUCUUGGGUAAAAAGCAGCAUGUGGAACUGCUUCCAUUGUACACAAGUAAUGAAAUCCCAUCUCAGGUUUUUCCUUGAA